UUGCCUUAGUAGCGGCGAGUGAAGCGGCAAAAGCUCAAAUUUGAAAUCUGGUACUUUCAGUAUCCGAGUUGUAAUUUGUAGAAGCAACUUUGGUGAUGGUCUUUGCAUAAGUUCCUUGGAAUAGGACGUCAUAGAGGGUGAGAAUCCCGUUUAUGGUGAAGAACCCACACUAUGUAAAGUGCUUUCGAAGAGUCGAGUUGUUUGGGAAUGCAGCUCAAAGUGGGUGGUAAAUUCCAUCUAAAGCUAAAUAUUGGCGAGAGACCGAUAGCGAACAAGUACUGUGAAGGAAAGAUGAAAAGAACUUUGAAAAGAGAGUGAAAAAGUACGUGAAAUUGUUGAAAGGGAAGGGAUCUAAAUCAGACAUGGUAUUUUGUGAUCAACAGUCUUUCGGGACUGUGCACUCGCAUUUUACUAGGCCAGCAUCGGUUAGAAGGGGGUAAAAAAGAUUUUGGAAUGUGGCUCCUCGGAGUGUUAUAGCCAAGGUUAAUUGCCCCAUUUCUGACCGAGGACCGCGUCUUUUGACUAGGAUGCUGGCGUAAUGGUUUUGAUCCACCCGUCUUGAAAC
rnacentral:rRNA from 1 species